AUUGAACGCUGGCGGAAUGCUUUACACAUGCAAGUCGAACGGGCUUGAGGGGCUUGCUCCUCAAGUUAGUGGCGAACGGGUGAGUAAUGCAUCGGAACGUACCCAGUCGUGGGGGAUAACGUAGCGAAAGUUACGCUAAUACCGCAUACGUCCUACGGGAGAAAGCAGGGGAUCGUAAGACCUUGCGCGAUUGGAGCGGCCGAUGUCUGAUUAGCUAGUUGGUGGGGUAAAGGCUCACCAAGGCGACGAUCAGUAGCGGGUCUGAGAGGAUGAUCCGCCACACUGGGACUGAGACACGGCCCAGACUCCUACGGGAGGCAGCAGUGGGGAAUUUUGGACAAUGGGGGCAACCCUGAUCCAGCCAUUCCGCGUGAGUGAAGAAGGCCUUCGGGUUGUAAAGCUCUUUCGGCAGGAACGAAACGGCUCGCUCUAACAUAGCGGGCUACUGACGGUACCUGAAGAAGAAGCACCGGCUAACUACGUGCCAGCAGCCGCCGUAACAC
rnacentral:rRNA from 1 species